GAUGUUACUCCUGUUACCUGUCCUCUUGACCUUUCUGUCAAGCUCAAAAUGGCUGAAGGAGAUCCUCUUCCAUCUCCGGAAUCCUAUAGAAGCCUGGUGGGGAAGCUCAAUUUUCUCAUUCACACUAGACCUGAUUUGGCCUUUGCUAUACAACAUCUUAGUCAGUAUCUUCAGAAGCCUACUUCCUCUCACAUGCAUGCAGCUUUGCAUACACUCAGAUAUCUUAGAGGAACUUCUGAAGUUGGGGUCUUCAUCAGCAACUCCUCUGACCUCUCCUUGUCUGCCUAUUAUGAUAGUGACUGGGCUUCCUGUCCAGACACUAGGAGAUCUGUCUCUGGACAACACCCCUGAUCUCUCCUUGUCUGCCUAUUGUGAUAGUGACUGAGCUUCCUGCCCAGACACUAGGAGGUCUGUUUCUGGGUUUUGUAUUCUUUUGGGUAUCUCUCUUAUUGGUUUGAAGGCUAAGAAGCAGCCUGUGGUGACCUUGUCUUCUGCUGAGGCUGAGUACAGGGCCAUGAGUAAAGUUGUUGGUGAGCUCACCUGGCUUGUUCGAUUACUGUCUGAUUUUGGUGUUCUUGUU
rnacentral:lncRNA from 1 species